CCUACGGGUGGCAGCAGUGGGGAAUAUUGGGCAAUGGGCGCAAGCCUGAACCAGCAACGCCGCGUGAAGGAAGAAGGCUUUCGGGUUGUAAACUUCUUUUGUCAGGGAAGAGUAGAAGACGGUACCUGACGAAUAAGCCAGGGCGAACUACGUGACAGCCGCCGCGGUAAUACGUAGGUGGCAAGCGUUGUACGGAUUUACUGGGUGUAAAGGGCGUGUAGGGGGGUUGAAAAGUCAGAUGUGAAAUCCUGCGGCUUAACCGCAGAACUGCAUUUGAAACUGUUGAUCUUGAGUACUGGAGAGGCAGGCGGAAUGCCUGGUGUAGCGGUGAAAUGCGUAGAUAUUAGGAGGAACACCAGUGGCGAAGGCGGUCUGCUGGACAGCAACUGACGCUGAGGCGCGAAAGCGUGGGGAGCAAACAGGAUUAGAUACCCUAGUAGUC
rnacentral:rRNA from 1 species